AUGAGGAUCGGUAGAAACGGUUGAACGUAGAAAGAAAACGGAUUAUACGUGAGCAGGAUCAGCGGUUUAUGUUAUUUUUUUAAAGCUGAUACAUUUUUGAUAUCUUCUUUUGUCAAUCAUUCAGUAAACAGGUUCUCAGAGGAUAUUUUAAACAUGUAUUUUCAAGAAGGACAUGUUUGGAUGAGAGGCUGAUGAGUAACGUUCCUCCAGUGCAAGUCUCCUGGAAAAACCAGUCCAGAUGAAAUCACAGCAGCAAAGGUUCAAAUGAAGAGGAGGAAGAAAAUCAGCAGAAAUCACAGAUCAGCAGAAAACAAGAAGACUGAGAGAAACACGGAGGACAGAAAUGACACACAAACCAGAGAAUCACAAGAGGAAAGAGGAGAGAGACGUGAUAGAUGUGACAGUAUGAAGAAACUAACGCCAGACUUGUCCUGUGAUCCAGAUGAGCCUGUAAAGAGUGAUUCUCAUCAAACCCUUCAUCAUGUUCUCAAGAACACACAUCACUGACAUCUUCAUCAUCCUCAUCAUCACUGACAUCCAUCAGCAGUUGAAGACCUGGGGCCGUAUUCACAAAGAAUUUUAAGGCUAAAAGUAACUGGCGAAUUUAGGAGAAACUCCUAAAAAUAAGGGGCGUGUCACUCCUAACUUUAAGACUCCUAAUUUUUUUCACUAAGAGUAAUUCACGAAGCAUUUUAGCCCUAAAAGUAGCACCUAAGUCUGGGACGGCUUAAAAGAAGUCGAGAGGACUCCUAACUCACUAAGACCUUUUCACAAAGGAUUGUAGCGCAUACCAGCGCCUCUCGCAGUCGUCCGGGGUCCGCGACACAGGCGGGAAUGCUGCAUUCAUCUGCAAACAAAUCCUCUUCCAUGUCUCACGCUUAGUUUUGCUUGAUAUCCCAGCGCUGAAUUUCACUUUUAUUAUGUUUUUUUUUUUUUUUCUAGCACCAACUGGGUCAGCAGCAGUAACUGAUCCUGUGUCCAGUUGGGCUUUCUUUUCCAUUUUGGCGAGUUCAUAAUCCACUGUCAUUCAACUAUUACAUUACAUUAUGGGAGCAACAUUUCCUAAGUUAUUCGCUGUCAAAGUGACGCCAAAAUGAAUGGGAGUCAAUGGGAUGCUAACAGCAGGAGAUGCUCUGCUACAAUGGCGGCUCCCGCGAGGCUUCAACUUACGGCUGAUGGAUUACACACUUGUCUCGGACACAUUUCUAACCGGCAUGCAUCUCGCGCUGAUCACCGGUGAUCAGUUCUGCGCAGAUUUUGCUCAUCUUAAACAAGCCUCAUGUCUGAGGUAAUGUAGCUUAAAAUGUCAUUGUUGUUUUGAAAGAAAGAAAAAACGGCGUAAGAGCGUGUCUUAUGCCCUCAGGUAAGUUAGCUC